GUCAGGAUGGCCGAGCGGUCUAAGACACCAGACUCAAGUUCUGGUUCACUCUGUGGACGUGGGUUCGAAUCCCACUUCUGAUA